rnacentral:rRNA from 1 species
AAUGAACGCUGGCGGCGUGCCUAACACAUGCAAGUCGAGCGAGAACGUCUCUUCGGAGACAAGUACAGCGGCGGACGGGUGAGUAACACGUAAGAAUCUGCCCUAUAGUGAAGAAUACCUUCGAGAAAUUGAAGUUAAUACUGCAUAAGUCCCUCGGGAGAAAGGCGUCUUUUAUGUCGCCGCUAUAGGAUGAGCUUGCGGACUAUCAGCUUGUUGGUGAGGUAAAGGCUCACCAAGGCUAUGACGGUUAACCGGCCUGAGAGGGUGUACGGUCACACAGGCACUGAGAUACGGGCCUGACUCCUACGGGAGGCAGCAGUGGGGAAUAUUGCGCAAUGGGCGAAAGCCUGACGCAGCGACGCCGCGUGGAGGAUGAAGGUCUUAGGAUUGUAAACUCCUGUCAGAUGGGAAGAAAAGAUCUAUUUUUAAUAGAGAUAGGUUAUGACGGUACCAUCAGAGGAAGCACCGGCUAACUUCGUGCCAGCAGCCGCGGUAAGAC